UGGGGAAUAUUGGACAAUGGGCGAAAGCCUGAUCCAGCCAUGCCGCGUGUGUGAAGAAGGUCUUCGGAUUGUAAAGCACUUUAAGUUGGGAGGAAGGGUUGUAGAUUAAUACUCUGCAAUUUUGACGUUACCGACAGAAUAAGCACCGGCUAACUCUGUGCCAGCAGCCGCGGUAAUACAGAGGGUGCAAGCGUUAAUCGGAAUUACUGGGCGUAAAGCGCGCGUAGGUGGUUAGUUAAGAUGGAUGUGAAAUCCCCGGGCUCAACCUGGGAACUGCAUUCAAAACUGACUGACUAGAGUAUGGUAGAGGGUGGUGGAAUUUCCUGUGUAGCGGUGAAAUGCGUAGAUAUAGGAAGGAACACCAGUGGCGAAGGCGACCACCUGGACUGAUACUGACACUGAGGUGCGAAAGCGUGGGGAGCAAACA
rnacentral:rRNA from 1 species